rnacentral:rRNA from 1 species
AGCGAACGCUGGCGGCAGGCCUAACACAUGCAAGUCGAACGGAUCCUUCGGGAUUAGUGGCGGACGGGUGAGGAACACGUGGGAACGUGCCCUUUGGUUCGGAACAACUCAGGGAAACUUGAGCUAAUACCGGAUGUGCCCUUCGGGGGAAAGAUUUAUCGCCAUUGGAGCGGCCCGCGUCUGAUUAGCUGGUUGGUGAGGUAACGGCCCACCAAGGCGACGAUCAGUAGCUGGUCUGAGAGCAUGAUCAGCCACACUGGGACUGAGACACGGCCCAGACUCCUACGGGAGGCAGCAGUGGAGAAUCUUGCGCAAUGGGCCAAAGCCUGACGCAGCCAUGCCGCGUGAAUGAUGAAGGUCUUAGGAUUGUAAAAUUCUUUCAGCGGAGACGAUAAUGACGGUACCCGCAGAAGAAGCACCGGCUAACUUCGUG